GUUACUGGUCAGCCCGGUUGCUCCGCCUGAAAAGCGGAAGGUCGGCGGUUCGACCCCGCCCCUGCCCA
rnacentral:tRNA from 1 species